CGGGAUGUGGCGCAGUUGGUAGCGCGCCUGCUUUGGGAGCAGGGUGUCGCAGGUUCGAGUCCUGCCAUCCCGACCA
rnacentral:tRNA from 1 species